CCUACGGGGGGCUGCAGUGGGGAAUAUUGGGCAAUGGAGGCAACUCUGACCCAGCAACGCCGCGUGAAUGAUGAAGGUCUUCGGAUUGUAAAGCUCUGUGAUUGGGGAUGAACACAAUGACGGUACCCCAAUAGCAAGCCACGGCUAACUACGUGCCAGCAGCCGCGGUAAUACGUAGGUGGCAAGCGUUAUCCGGAAUGACUGGGCGUAAAGGGUGCGUAGGUGGUUUAGUAAGUUGGCGGUGUAAUUCCGGGGCUUAACCUCGGCGCUACCGCCAAAACUAUUAGACUAGAGUGCAGGGGGGGUAAGUGGAAUUCCUAGUGUAGCGGUGGAAUGCGUAGAUAUUAGGAGGAACAUCAGGGGCGAAGGCGACUUACUGGACUGUAACUGACACUGAGGCACGAAAGCGUGGGGAGCAAACAGGAUUAGAUACCCGAGUAGUC
rnacentral:rRNA from 1 species